AAAUAAGAUCAGAGAAUGGAGAUGUGGCAGGCCUUGUCCCCUCCCCACUCUUGCUGUCCCUGAUGAUGGAGGAGACAUGAGUGAUGCCUUUCAAGAAAUCUGUAUAUUUUGAAAUAAUCAAAACACCAGGCAAUAGGUCUCCAUGGUGCCAAAUCAUAAGAGAGCAAUACCAGCCAAUAUAUACAAAGGACCUAUUACAUAAUUCUGUAUUCCCUACUAGGGAC